AACGAACGCUGGCGGCACGUUUUAAGCAUGCAAGUCGAACGGCAGUGGGGGCAACCCCAUGAGAGUGGCGAACGGGUGAGUAACACGUAGGUGAUCUGCCGUUGGGUUGGGGAUAGCUUGUGGAAACACAGGGUAAUACCGAAUGAGCUGACGAGGCUUUGGCCAUGUUAGUAAAGGUGCUACGGCACCGCUGAGAGAGGAGCCUGCGGCUGAGUAGCUAGUUGGUGGGGUAAAGGCCUACCAAGGCGACGAGCAGUAGCCGGCCUGAGAGGGUGUACGGCCACACUGGAACUGAGACACGGUCCAGACUCCUACGGGAGGCAGCAGCUAAGAAUCUUCCGCAAUGGGCGAAAGCCUGACGGAGCGAUGCCGCGUGAUCGAUGAAGGUCGAGAGAUCGUAAAGAUCUUUUCCAACUGAGGAAUAAGUGGACCAGGGAAUGGGUUCAUGAUGACGUUAAGUUGGGAAUAAGCCCCGGCUAAUUACGUGCCAGCCGCCGCCGUAA
rnacentral:rRNA from 1 species